AGGUGCGAUCCUACCAACACGAAUGCACCAGAUCCCAUCAGAACUUCGCAGUUAAGCAUGCUUGUAUGAGAGUCGUACUAGGAUCGGUGACUCUUGGGAAGUCUUCAUGUUGCAUCUC
rnacentral:rRNA from 2 species